AGACCGCCACGGUGACUUGCAAGCAACUCACUGCACUUAGGCACUGGACUACCUGAAUUUUUAAUUCAAUGACGGAAGGCUGCUGGGUGUAGUCAAGUACUUGACUUGUCGGUACGUGUGUCAAGAUGAGAUUGACCACUCCAGUUUAGGAGCUGUGUAUAGUCGUGUUUCAAUUUAGCAAAACCUUGGCCAGGAUAGUCCUUGUGAGGAGUCACAGGACUGUUUGAGUUGAGCAUGAUUCGGAUGAUCUAAUCAGGGUUGACAGUUUAACCCUGAGUC
rnacentral:lncRNA from 1 species